UAGUCCACGCCGUAAACGAUGUCAACUAGCCAUCGGGUCCAUUUAAGGAUUUGGUGGCGCAGCUAACGCGAUAAGUUCUCCGCCUGGGGAGUACGACCGCAAGGUUGAAACUCAAAGGAAUUGACGGGGGCCCGCACAAGCGGUGGAGCAUGUGGUUUAAUUCGAUGCAACGCGAAGAACCUUACCAUCCCUUGACAUCCUCAGAAUGAUCUGUAAUCGAUCAGUGCCUUCGGGAACUGAGUGACAGGUGCUGCACGGCUGUCGUCAGCUCGUGUCGUGAGAUGUUGGGUUAAGUCCCGCAACGAGCGCAACCCCUAUCUAUAGUUGCCAGCACGUAAUGGUGGGAACUCUAUAGAGACUGCCGGUGAUGAGCCGGAGGAAGGUGGGGACGACGUCAAGUCAUCAUGGCCCUUACGGGAUGGGCUACACACGUGCUACAAAUGGUGCAUACAGAGGUUGCCAACCCGCAGGGGGAGCUAAUCUCAGAAAGUG
rnacentral:rRNA from 1 species